GUUCCUAUUCACACUCUCUCCCACAUGCUUAGUUGUCCACAACAUGAUUUUCAUGUAAAAGUUGAUCCUUUUUGUUGUUCUGCAUGUUGGGUUGCUCAGAGAUAGUGGGAAAACUGAAGAAAUUUUCUUGCUUGAUUGGUGUGUCUUGCAGAAACGACGAUAUCACUGCAUCAGUGGCAGAGUUUGAUGCAUGGCCUUUUGAGGAGGAACACAGACGAAUUAUUGAAAACAGAAAGAGUGGAACAAAUCUUACAUGGUCUGAAGUUAAUAACAUGCCGUACACAGCCAAAGUGAUUAGUGAAACUCUUCGUAGAGCCACAAUACUACCUUGCUUUUCAAGAAAGGCAUCCCAGGAUUUUGAAAUUAAUGGUUAUAAAGUUAGAAAAGGUUGGUCCAUCAACCUAGAUGUUGUUUCUAUCCACCACGACCCAGAAGUUUUCUCAAAUCCUGAAAAGUUUGAUCCCUCUAGAUUUGAUGCAAGUUACUUCCUGACAAGAAACUCUAAUAAAUAAUCAUCUAUGUUUCUAAGGAUCACAAAAUUGAUAUUUUCAUUCAAUUGCAGGAACCCUUGAGGCCUUUCAGCUUUCUUGGAUUUGGUAGUGGACCACGUAUGUGUCCUAGAAUGAACCUUGCCAAGCUUGAAAUCUGUGUCUUCAUCUAUCACCUUAUCAACAAAUACACGCUGUUGAUUAUGGAGUCCACAAGCUCUGGGAGGCAAAUAAUGUUGGGUUGGGAAUAUACCGUAUGAUGCCACAGAGGAACAACUUAUUGAAAUCUGCCAGGAGGUUGGCCCAGUAGUCUCAUUCAGGUAACUUUGAAUAAAGUUAAGCUCUUUUGUUAUGAAGGAAUGUUCUUAGGUUUUAUGAUUUGUUACAACAAUUCAUGUUUUCUUCCACUCUGUUAUGAAGGAAUGUUCUUAGAUUGAGAUGUGACCAGUGCUAAAAGUCAUCUUAUUUGCUUUGUACUUGUGACUAUGACUUGGCUCUUCUUUUCCAACCAACGUUGAUGCUUGCAAUCAGUAUUGGAGUUUCUUUCAUUGUGAUUUUUCCUGACUGGAUGCUAACAACUUUGUUGAUAAUAUUUUUCACCGGUAAUUAAGAAUUCCCUAACUAUGUGUUUGGAUGAGAAAUUUAAAGAUUUUUAGGAAAUUCAAAUUCUUGCUUUGAUUUAAAUUCCUUUCAUUUUGUAAAUAU